GGUGUAUCUCACGAUCAAACAAAUAAGGAAGCAAGAGGUGUUUUAUACCAAACCCAAACUCAAAGAAUCAAAAACACAAACAGAAAAAGUUCCACCGCCAUGGAUUCGCAGCACCAAACUCGAAUAUCGCAAACUCGUGAUCCUUCAUCAACUUCCAUUAUGCUACCCUUUCUCUCAUUCAUACUCAUUGCCGCUUUGGUUUUGGUUCCUUCAGCAUCACCAUCCUUAAAAAAUACAAUGUCAGUUAUUCACCAAGUCCCUGAAGGCCAUGUGGGGGUAUAUUGGAGAGGAGGUGCGCUUCUGAAAACAAUUACAGAGCCAGGUUUCCAUAUGAAGAUGCCUUUCUUAACUCAGUUUGAGCCAGUUCAAGUGACACUUCAAACAGACGAGGUGACAGAUAUACCGUGCGGUACUAAAGGUGGUGUUAUGAUUACUUUUGGGAAGAUUGAGGUUGUUAACCGAUUGCAUAAAGAAUCUGUCUAUGAGACAUUGCUCAACUAUGGUGUACAAUAUGACAAGACAUGGAUAUAUGACAAGAUUCAUCAUGAGAUUAAUCAGUUCUGCAGCUCUCAUAGUCUUCAACAAGUAUAUAUUGAUGUGUUUGAUCAGAUUGACGAAAAGAUGAAGGAUGCUCUUCAAGUUGACUGUACCCGUUAUGCUCCAGGCAUUGAGAUCAUUGGUGUCCGUGUCACAAAGCCAAAUAUUCCAGAAAACAUAAGCCACAACUAUGAACAGAUGGAAGAGGAGCGUACUAAGGGCUUAAUUGCUAUUGAGAAACAAAAAGUAUCCGAGAAGGAGGCAGAGACUAUGAAGAAGAUGGCUAUUAGCGAGGCUGAGAAAAAUGCCAAUGUUAGCAAGAUCCUUAUGGAACAAAAGUUGUUGGAAAAAGAUAGUGCAAGAAAACAGGAAGAAAUUGAGAAUGCAAUGUACCUAGCACGUGAGAAGAGUCUGGCGGAUGCAGAUUUCUACCGUGUAAUAAGGGAAGCUGAAGCAAACAGGUUGAAACUUACCCCUGAAUUUCUUGAGCUAAAAUUUAUCGAAUCCAUUGCUAAUAAUACGAAGAUUUUCUUUGGAGACAAGAUUCCAAAUAUGAUUUUGGACCAAAGGCUACUCAGAAACUUCCUCGUUGAAGAAGUUUCUAGAGGGGAAACUCAAAAGACAAAAGCAGAUAUCUAAACUCUACCAGUGGGAGCUUGGAUAUCUCGUUGCUAUCUUCUACAGUAAACAAUGAAAAGAAAGAUACCUAUGUUUUAGAUACAGUCAUGCAAAGGAUCAAGGCCAUGUUUCUCACCUCUAGAAGCACAGAAGUACAAGCCGUCUAGAUCAACACAUGAGGACUAUAAUUUUUAAUUUUGCAACUAAAAACACAACUCUUAAAAGAAAAAAUAAGACUCACGAGGAGUUGAUUCGUUAAUCGCAGGAGGAUUCUCGUUUGCUUAGGGAGCAAUUAUUUCAAUUUAUGGAAAAAAUUUGUUCAAAGUCAGCUACCUCCACGUUCCGAUCCACCUCUGCCUCCUACUAAUUGUUACACAUAUAUUAGUUAUGGUGUUUUGAGAGUUUGGCUAUAAACUCUUGAGUUUCAAGAACAUUAAUGCCUUUUUUUCUUUUAUAAAAAACAAUGUUAGUAGUAUUAGUUUCAACAACAAUAUUAUAUUUGUUAUGGCUACC